rnacentral:rRNA from 1 species
UACGUAGGGUGCAAGCGUUAAUCGGAAUUACUGGGCGUAAAGCGUGCGCAGGCGGUUUUGUAAGUCUGUCGUGAAAUCCCCGGGCUCAACCUGGGAAUUGCGAUGGAGACUGCAAGGCUAGAAUCUGGCAGAGGGGGGUAGAAUUCCACGUGUAGCAGUGAAAUGCGUAGAGAUGUGGAGGAACACCGAUGGCGAAGGCCGCCCCCUGGGUCAAGAUUGACGCUCAUGCACGAAAGCGUGGGGAGCAAACAGG